CUAUUCCGUCCUCGCUUCGUCCUCCGGCCGCCGAGACGAAGAGAUUCACCUCAUCCUCUCACCAUGCAGCCAUGACUUCUUCCUCCUCUCCAUCCCUCUGCUCGACGACAAGCUGAGAUCCGGUCUUCUUCCCUGCUACAGUUGUACUCGACAGCUCAUCCGACGAGGAGGUUAAAGUGGGCUGGUCAUAUCUAGCGCCUGAAGAAGCAAGGCAAGUAUCCACUAGUCUGAAGGAUGUUGGAGACAAAUAUAACAUCAAUGUUGCUGGAAGAGAAUGCCCGUAAGAGAAAGUCGGAUGAUGUGGCAUGGGAGUAUGGGAGUCUAGCCGAUGUUUCCAACA